GGGCACAGUGAACAGUGAGUGCAACGGUGGUGUGAAGAUGGGCGUGGUGAUACGAAUAAGGAAGGCCCUUAUAGGCUAACAUAUUUGAAUGCUUAGUCAUCUUGGAGCAGCACUGUUUGAGAAGGAUUAGAGGGAUGAGGAAGUGCGGCCAUGUUGGAGGAAGUGUAACAGUGGGGUGUGCUGUGUGGAUCCGGAUGUAGAACUCUCAGCUAAUUCUCUAGCACCAAGUAUCGCUGGAUGCUACCAUGCUCCCUGCCAGGAUGAUAAAGGACUAAGCUUUGAAAGUGCUCAUUUUAUGUGUGAACCUGAUUCUCAGCGUGGGAAAAAUACUAGCACCAAAUGCACGAGAGAAACACACCAAGGAAUUUCUGGUGGUAUUCCACUUCCAAGGAUCCUCGAGGUUUCUGCUGGAUGGAGCCACUGCUGCUGACUUUGGUGUUUGCUAUUGGACUGGACUGCUGAUAUCCUGACAACAAAGAUUGGAACUACCCCUAAAAACUACUUCUAAGACUGAAAGGUAUGAAGAUCUGUGGCAAGAGGCAUGUCAGAGAAUAAGCCGAAGAAUUCUGUUAUUUUAUAGCAUUAGAUCUUCUUUCCUGUCAAAUCUGUCACUUGUGCCCUGACUCUGGCUGGGAUGAAGAGAACAAGAUGGAAAUAAAGAUAUGGAAUGCAGUGUACACUAUGUGUUUCUGCACUAACUUCCUGAAUGACUUCCUGGAUUGUGUUGCUGGAGAUGGCUCUCUGUGGACUCCUGUAUCAAUGUUUCCCUGGCAUGGGGGCAGAGCAGUCUCAGUGGUAUGUUUCUAGCUGCUGUCCCAGCCUAAAGGAUUUAAUUAUGCGUGAAGAGUUGAAACUGGAUUAUUUCUUGUUUCUUGAAUGUUGUAUGUUCCAGGCUUUGAGCCUUAGCCUACCUGAAACUCUUUCUUGCUAUCUACAGACAACCUUAUGUUUCUGGGGUCAUCUCAAAUGCUGUUCUUUCUAUAAAAUAUUUGUCCUAGAAGUGAUCCUUAGUUGAUUUUCUUACAUCACUAGCUUCUUUUAUCCACCAUUGUAGUUAUUUGUGUCCUUAUUUCAUUUUCAUAUGGAAACUAUAAACUCUGAAGAAAGGGAGAAGUGUAACAAAUUUAUGUGCUGAUUAUUUAUUCACUUAAAAAGCAUUGGUUUUCCUUAAGCUAUGGAUGAGAAUUGAGUUACUAGGGCAUUCAGCAAAUAUGAGGUGGAUUCUAUUAAAUGCUGUUAUAACAUAUACUGACCACUUUCUUAAAUAUAUUAAUUUUUGUCUGCAGAUUCACCCAUCCAUAUUCCAAAACUAUUGGUUAAAUAUUUUAGAAGGUUGAAAAAGCAAAACUUAAUUUGUAAUAUGUGUAAACUGUCUGAAUUAUUAAACUAUGUAUAGGGUAUGCCCUGCUGCUGUUUGGUAGUCACCAUUCAUUACUGUUUUGAGUACCACAUGUCUGUGUCUCAUGU
rnacentral:lncRNA from 1 species